CUCCUCCGAUCUGACCGAUAGUCGACAAGUACCUUAAGGGAAAGUUGAAAAGAACUGUGAGGAGAGAGUUCAAGAGGGCGUGAAACCAUUGAGAGGUAAACGGUUGGGGUCCGCGCAGUCUGCCCGGGGGAUUCAACUCGGCGGGUUAGGUACGGCCACUCAGUGUGGGAGGAUCCCCUCGCGGGACCUCUCCG